rnacentral:rRNA from 1 species
UACGUAGGGUGCGAGCGUUAAUCGGAAUUACUGGGCGUAAAGCGUGCGCAGGCGGUUCGUCGUGUCCGAUGUGAAAGCCCCGGGCUCAACCUGGGGAAUGCAUUGGAAACUGGCGGGCUUGAGUGUGGCAGAGGGGGGUGGAAUUCCGCGUGUAGCAGUGAAAUGCGUAGAGAUGCGGAGGAACACCGAUGGCGAAGGCAGCCCCCUGGGCUAACACGUGACGCCUCAGGCACGAAAGCGUGGGGAGCAAACAGG